GAUGAAGAACGUAGCGAAAUGCGAUAAGUAGUGUGAAUUGCAGAAUUCAGUGAAUCAUCGAAUCUUUGAACGCACAUUGCGCCUUCUAGUAUUCUGGGAGGCAUGCCUGUUUGAGCGUCAUUAAACCUCUCUCAAGUAUGAUUACUUGGAUGUGAAGGAAGAGUACCUUAAACUUAAGGAGUGUUCUCCUUUGAAAUUGAUUAGCAGAUGGUAAUGUUAUUAAAUCCCUGAUGUUGUAAGAAAUAACAGUGGUUUUGUAGACUAUUAUCUAGCUUUAAAUUAUAAUUUUUAUUAUGGUUGACCUCAAAGCAGGUAAGGAUACCCGCUGAACUUAAGCAUAUCAAUAAGCGGAGGA
rnacentral:misc_RNA from 1 species